rnacentral:rRNA from 1 species
UACAGAGGUCCCAAGCGUUGUUCGGAUUUACUGGGCGUAAAGGGUGCGUAGGCGGUUGGAUAAGUUUGACGUGAAAUCUCCGGGCCUAACCCGGAAACUGCGUUGGAUACUGCCCAGCUAGAGGAAUGGAGGGGAGACUGGAAUACUUGGUGUAGCAGUGAAAUGCGUAGAUAUCAAGUGGAACACCAGUGGCGAAGGCGAGUCUCUGGACAUUUCCUGACGCUGAGGCACGAAAGCCAGGGGAGCAAACGGG